AUCUGCAAUUCUCCUGAACCAAUUCUGACGGAUAAUAUGACUGUGUCAACCACAAAAGAGGAAAAGAAUGGGCUUUAAAUCCCGCCUUUACAGCCAUCCAAGGCAGGUCCUCAGCAACUUUCUGGACAACUGGCUGAUCUGAAGAACCAGUUCAUACUCGUCUAUCUUGUUAUUGUGUUGACUAGUCCUUCUUCAAAGGAUGGAACUUUAAGGAUGGAACCAAUUGGCUACAAAUCAUUUUAGCUGAUGCACUGAGACAAUUCUGAAGCAAACUGUCUUAUCCUGGAUUUUGUCAGUAACUGGAGUUGAAGGACUUGAAGAUUCUCAAGGUAACAUCUAUGAAAAAUGGGCUUUCUCUUUUUGUUCAUCUUUCCACAUCCUGAAUUCACCCCUUAAAAGUUAUGUAGAUCAACAUGGCAAUUCUCUGAGCCUCAGUCUGUUGUAAUUUGGCAGAGUUUUUGUGAUAAUUAAGCA
rnacentral:lncRNA from 1 species